UGAGGAUCGUGGCCGCCGCCAUCAUAGAGAAGGGCAAAAGUACAUCGAGCCAAGCUGUGUUGAUUCUGGCCUUAUCUGCCGCCUCACAACCUGUAUGCUGCCACCAUCAUGAGAUCAGGUGCUUGGGGAUGAAUCUCAACAUCGCUGUUGAUCUACAUCAGCUCAGAAAGUUAGUGGGGAACUGGGGAUAAAAGGCUGAAGUGACAAUGCUGAUGCAGCCUGACACCACCGCACCAGGUUUAUACCUAGAAGAUGAAUUAAUUUAGACCCAAGAACCUACGUGAGGUGGACGGUGAUGGUUCCAUCCAUGGAGGCAUGGAGCUUGAGAUCAUUGUUGUCCAGGAGGGAGCCGGGCUCACCUGGUUCUUUUUUUUGGUCAACUGUGUCGUUUAGUUCGCGAUCUCAGUGCGACGAAUCAGCCAUGCAAGUUGCACACUUAUUUCAGGGUUUAUAUGGAUUCAUGUUCAUGACUAAAACUACGAUGGAAUGCAAGCCUAUAGGACUUGCGCGGUGUGCUGUUGUUCUAGCGGUCUCUUAGUUUGGAUGGCUGUGUCUUGCGUUGGUUCUAUUGGCUCUGUAGAUCCUCUUAGUUAGUCGGCGUGCUAUCAGAUGAUAUGUAAUCUGCUUAUCUUUUCUAUAUGUCCUCUCUGCCAUGGCUUUUAAAGACCAUGCUGUGGCCUUUGGUGUUCACUUGUUUUUGUUGCUCUCGGCAGAAUGAACAACUAUUAGUUGGUAUAAUAUAUUUUUCUUAUAUA